GGCGAACGGGUGAGUAACGCGUAAUCAACCUGCCCUUCAGAGGGGGACAACAGUUGGAAACGACUGCUAAUACCGCAUACGAUCUAAUCUCGGCAUCGAGGAUAGAUGAAAGGUGGCCUCUAUUUGUAAGCUAUCACUGAAGGAGGGGAUUGCGUCUGAUUAGCUAGUUGGAGGGGUAACGGCCCACCAAGGCGAUGAUCAGUAGCCGGUCUGAGAGGAUGAACGGCCACAUUGGGACUGAGACACGGCCCAGACUCCUACGGGAGGCAGCAGUGGGGAAUCUUCCGCAAUGGACGAAAGUCUGACGGAGCAACGCCGCGUGAGUGAUGACGGCCUUCGGGUUGUAAAGCUCUGUUAAUCGGGACGAAAGGCCUUCUUGCGAAUAGUGAGAAGGAUUGACGGUACCGGAAUAGAAAGCCACGGCUAACUACGUGCCAGCAGCCGCGGUAAUACGUAGGUGGCAAGCGUUGUCCGGAAUUAUUGGGCGUAAAGCGCGCGCAGGCGGAUAGGUCAGUCUGUCUUAAAAGUUCGGGGCUUAACCCCGUGAUGGGAUGGAAACUGCCAAUCUAGAGUAUCGGAGAGGAAAGUGGAAUUCCUAGUGUAGCGGUGAAAUGCGUAGAUAUUAGGAAGAACACCAGUGGCGAAGGCGACUUUCUGGACGAAAACUGACGCUGAAGCGCGAAAGC
rnacentral:rRNA from 1 species